GAUGAACGCUAGCGGCAGGCUUAAUACAUGCAAGUCGAGGGGCAGCAUGAAUGUAGCAAUACAUUUGAUGGCGACCGGCAAACGGGUGCGGAACACGUACACAACCUUCCUAUAAGUGGGGAAUAGCCCAGAGAAAUUUGGAUUAAUACCCCGUAACAUAAUGAUGUGGCAUCACAUUAUUAUUAUAGCUACGGCGCUUGUUGAUGGGUGUGCGGCUGAUUAGCUAGUUGGCGGGGUAACGGCCCACCAAGUCUACGAUCAGUAGCUGAUGUGAGAGCAUGAUCAGCCACACGGGCACUGGGACACGGGCCCGACUCCUACUGGAGGCAGCAGUAAGGAAUAUUGGUCAAUGGACGCAAGUCUGAACCAGCCAUGCCGCGUGAAGGAUUAAGGUCCUCUGGAUUGUAAACUUCUUUUAUCUGGGACGAAAAAAGGCUAUUCUUAGUCACUUGACGGUACCAGAUGAAUAAGCACCGGCUAACUCCGUGCCAGCCGCCGCGGUAAUAC
rnacentral:rRNA from 1 species